AGUGAACGCUGGCGGUAGGCCUAACACAUGCAAGUCGAACGGCAGCACAGUAAGAGCUUGCUCUUACGGGUGGCGAGUGGCGGACGGGUGAGGAAUACAUCGGAAUCUACUUUUUCGUGGGGGAUAACGUAGGGAAACUUACGCUAAUACCGCAUACGACCUACGGGUGAAAGCAGGGGAUCUUCGCACCUUGCGCGAUUGAAUGAGCCGAUGUCGGAUUAGCUAGUUGGCGGGGUAAAGGCCCACCAAGGCGACGAUCCGUAGCUGGUCUGAGAGGAUGAUCAGCCACACUGGAACUGAGACACGGUCCAGACUCCUACGGGAGGCAGCAGUGGGGAAUAUUCGGCAAUGGGCGAAAGCCUGAUCCAGCCAUACCGCGUGGGUGAAGAAGGCCUUCGGGUUGUAAAGCCCUUUUGUUGGGAAAGAAAAACAGCAGGUUAAAACCCCGCUGUUCUGACGGUACCCAAAGAAUAAGCACCGGCUAACUUCGUG
rnacentral:rRNA from 1 species